rnacentral:misc_RNA from 1 species
GAUGAAGAACGUAGCGAAAUGCGAUAAGUAAUGUGAAUUGCAGAACUCAGUGAAUCAUCGAAUCUUUGAACGCACAUUGCGCCCCUUGGUAUUCCGAGGGGCAUGCCUGUUCGAGCGUCAUAUUAACCACUCCCGCUUGCGGGGUCUUGGGCUUCGCCUCCGGGCGGGCCUUAAAAUCAGUGGCGGUGCCGUCGGGCUCUACGCGUAGUAAAUUUUCUCGCGAUAGGGUCCCGGUGGAUGCUUGCCAACAACCCCCAACUUCUUAAGGUUGACCUCGGAUCAGGUAGGGAUACCCGCUGAACUUAAGCAUAUCAAUAAGCGGAGGA